rnacentral:rRNA from 1 species
AAAGACUUGACGGUACCUUACAACAACCUAGAGGAGCCUGUCUAAUAACCGAUACCCCACGAUUAACCCGACCCACCCUAGCCUACCAGUCUAUAUACCGCCGUCACCAGCUCACCCUGUGAAAGAAACAAAGUGAACCUAACAGGCCACCCCUAACACGACAGGUCGAGGUGUAACAAAUGAGUGGGUAAAAGAUGGGCUACAUUUUCUCCCAAACAGAAAACACGAAUAAACCAUGAAACUAGAAACUGAAGGCGGAUUUAGCAGUAUGUUAAAGACACAAUACUUA